CCCGCUCCGCCGGACGCGCCGCCGCGGGCAGCCAGGGAAGAUGGAGGCCGCCGCGGAGGAGGGGCCGGGCGCCGCGGCGAGGGGGUGCGCGCGGGACGUCAGCGUCGCUGCCGCGGCCUCCGCUCCUUGGCCUGGGGCGCCGCCGCCACCGGCCCUGCCCGCCGCCCGGCCUGCCAAUCUCGCGCACGCAGUCGCCGCCGCCCGGGCCCAACGCUCGCCCGCCUCGCGCAGACCCGAGGCGCCCGGAGAGCCCGCGGCCAUCGGCGUGCGCCGGCGCGGGGCGGAGCGGCGUGUCACGUGACGGUACUGUUUACCGUUCCGGGCCGUAGCCGCUGCGCCUGCGCGCUGGGCUCCGAGGGCUCCGCCCCCUGCGCGCGCCCCGCCGGGUGGGCAGGACUUCCGCCUCUCUGAGCUGCCCCUAGCGCUUGGGCACUUUCCUGAGGACCCCGGGUGAUCGCAGGAAGGCCCGCAUCGCAACCUAGCCUCGGGCCUCUGCCUGGGGUGCCGCGCAGCGCUGUCCGCCUCGGAGCUGGAGCCCGCCCCCGGGCCGCGUCUCUGGGGCCGGGAGCGUCCAGCGGCCGUCUCUGAGGUGUCCGGCGAGGCAGGGCGUCUUCCCGCCUGUCCGCUAGAGCUGACUGUGGAACAAUGAAUACGGAACCCGGCCUCCUGUAAGGCUAGGCAUGAAGGGUACUUGUAGAAAAGUUAAACAAUGCCACGCCUUUCAUUAAUUUGCUGGGGUGAUAUAUUUUUAAUGAUCUAUUGCUUACAGUAACACUCAAUGGGUUUUGCUGUUGUUGAGUGAUAAAUGUUUUACAUUUAACUUCAAAAAUGGCAAAUACCAGUAGAUACAACCGUAUACUGUGAAGAGAACGUCUUGGAGACAGGCGUAGCUACAGCACUCUGGGAGACUGUGGCAACAUGAUUGCAAGUUUGAGCCCAGUCCGGACAAUUUAACGGGACUCUGAGUCAGAAAAAUUUUUAAAGGGCUGAGGAUGUACUCACUGUGAAAGCCCUGGGAUCUAUCCCCCGUAAUACAAAAAAAAAAGCUCUUGAGGAGUCCCUUAGUUUGUGAGUGUGUAGAGAUUCUGAGCCCAAAAUCUUUGCAGUCACUGGUCAGUUAGGUGUUGGACAGCGGCUUGCCUAAGUCCAUCCCAGCCCUUCAUAUGCACCUUGCUGCAAGUGUUGCCUGUCACUCUGACCAAAAUGAGCCCCAUAAGGAAGAACAGGAAUUGUGUCUUCUAACUGCACAGACCACUACAAUAACACCUGCUGAGCACCUCCAGGUGGCCUGCACUCUGCUAAAACCUUCACUUGGUAUCCUCAUACCUACCAGAGUUGAGAAUAAGGUUUCUGUUGUCGCGAUUCUACAGGAUUUCAAGAGUUCCAUCCCCUGCCUUGACUCUUCAACCUCUCAAGACUUUAUUUGCAACCCUCAGGGCAUCAUGGCAAAUUCUUUGAAAGGCGCAUUAUGAGGGGGUGUUUAAUGCCUCUUGAAUACUUAAAGAAUAUUUCUAUUGAUAAUUAUUUUAUGAAUUUUAUUAAGCAAUGUACUUAAUAGGAAAUUAAAAUAUCAAUAAAAUAAAAUAUUAAAUGUUAAUGUGUAAUGAGUGUUUUGAAUAAACAUAUUCAACAUCAUCUGUUGACUUGCUUAUAAAAUCUAAAAAAUAACAAAUUCCUAUAUGAACUACAGUGAAAAUGCAAACAACACUCUACCACAAAAAUAAUCUUUGCUUCAAUUAUCACAUCUAAGGCUGUCUUCACACAUGACAGCAGCAUGUUCCACACACGUCUCGAUUACACUGAUAGCACAUGUGUUUUGUUUUCCUGUCUCCUUUGGUAGGAUACACUUGACAUCUUGCUGGUCUUCCUGUUUUCUUAGGAGGUUCUUGUGAUGUUUCACCCAUCCUGUUCACCAGUCUGCUCCAGUAUUCUUUUGUAGAAUUCUUUGGGCAGAUACAUAUUAUUCUUUCUCUGUCAUAAUUGUUCAUUUAUCAAUUCCAGUCCCAACCCUCUAAGAAAAUUUCUGUGAUAUUUUUGUGCUUCUAAUUUUUUUUUUGUAAACUGAAACUAUGCCUGACAUGUUUAGGAUUGAGUAAAACACAACCAUUGGCCAACGCUUUGUGUUUUGAGUGACAUCAUAGUUACUGCAUAACUCAUCAACAACAUCUACUCUGC
rnacentral:lncRNA from 1 species